UUUGGUCGCCGGGAAUAUUGGACAAUGGAGGCAAUCUGAAGCAGCAAUGCCGCGUGUGUGAUGAAGGCCUUAGGGUUGUAAAGCUCUUUCGUCGGGGAAGAAAAUGACUGUACCCGAAUAAGAAGGUCCGGCUAACUUCGUGCCAGCAGCCGCGGUAAU
rnacentral:rRNA from 1 species